UACGGGGGGGGCAAGCGUUGUUCGGAAUUACUGGGCGUAAAGCGCACGCAGGCGGUCUUUUAAGUUUGACGUGAAAGCUCCCGGCUUAACUGGGAGAGGUCGUUGAAGACUGGAAGACUUGAGGCAAUGAGAGGGUGUAGAAUUCCCGGUGUAGUGGUGGAAUGCGUAGAUAUCGGGGGGAAUACCAGUGGCGAAAGCGGCACCCUAGCGUUAGCCUGACGCUCAUGUGCGAAAGCGUGGGGAGCGAACGGG
rnacentral:rRNA from 1 species